rnacentral:pre_miRNA from 1 species
AGUGGAAUAGCUGGGUCAAAUGGGUCAUUCCCAGUUUUCCAAGGAAUCUCCAUACUCCUUUUCAGAUUGCCUGCACUAAUUUUCAGUCCCACCAGCAAU